UUAACCACAAAUGAGUGGAUUUAUGAAGUUUCAUUUUCACCAUGGUUAUAAUUCAAUAAUACUUUAUUUGCUGCUCAAAUUGUUCUAACAUUGUCAUCGGAGUUCCUUUAGUUGAUUCCUGAAUCCCUUUGACAAACUUGCAUCAAUCAUCAACGUAGUGUUUUUUGUUUGCUUUAUGAUACCUCCCCUACUUCUAGCACCGUAGUAUGCCCCAGGUUUAUCUUGCAUACUUCCUGCCUAGUUUUCGAAUCACUUAUUUCUCCUAUUGCUAACAAUAAUGAAAGGAAAGUCUUGUUAGCAAUAGAAUAAAAUAUAGGCUCCUAUCGCACCUCAAUUACCAAAUAUGUCUAGGUCUACUUUUGCACUCUCUAUUGUUCUGUUUUUUUUCUCUACAAUCACCUAUAACACACAACCUAAUCUGUGGGAAAGGGAGUUUCUGGAAUGCCAGAUGAGUUGGUCUCCCCUGUGUGAGACACCCAUGGGGAGCCACGGGCAGACUAUGAGGAGAAAAGUCUCCUUAUUGCCCUAAUGUCUUUAUGCCCCAAGAGCAUAACAGCUCUGUGGCAUGCCACAGGUUGUUCGGGGAAUUAACACUCUCUUGAAGCAGUGGAGUAUAAUCAAACAUCUUGGCUCCUCCUGAAACCUGCUCCCACCCAUUUCAGUCCCUAGAAGUUAAAGAUCUUAAGUAGUUUAGACAUAUGCCUUUGCUCAAGGAAAUUCACAGAAACCGCCACUGCUAUGCAUCUUAUUGAAUGACUCAGGAGUUCUCCUUCACUGAUUAAUCCUUUUCCU
rnacentral:lncRNA from 10 species